UACCUAGUUAAUUCUGCUAGUAGUUAUAUGCUUGUCUUAAAGAUUAAGCUAUAUAUGUCUAAGUAUAAGUAAUUAUACUGUGAAACUGCGAAUAGCUUAUUAAAUUAGUUAUCGUUUAUUUGAUAGUACCUUACUACUUAGAUAACUGUGGUAAUUCUAGAGCUAAUACAUGCUGAAAACCCUAACUUUAGAAGAGGUGUAUUUAUUAGAUAAAAAACCAACGCCCUUCGGGGCUUCUUAGUAAUUUAUAAUAACUUUACAGAUCGCAUAGCCUUGCGCUAGCGACAGUUUAUUUAAAUUUCUGCCCUAUUAACUUUCGAUAGUAAGGUAUUAGCUUACUAUAGUUUUAAUAGGUAACGGGGAAUUAGGGUUCGAUUCCGGAGAGAGAGCCUAAGAAACAGCUACUACAUCUAAGAAAGGCAGCAGGCGCGCAAAUUACCUAAUUCUAACACGGGGAGGUAGUAAUAAUAAAUACUGAUAUAGAGCUCUUUUAGGUCUUAUAAUUAGAAUGAGUAUAAUUUAAACCUCUUAACGAGGAACAAUUAGAGGGCAAGUCUAGUGCUAGCAGCUGCAGUAAUUCUAGCUCUAAUAGCGUAUAUUAAAGUUGUUGCAGUUAAAAAGCUUAUAGUUGAACCUUAGGUCUAGCUAGCAGGUCUGCCUUACUGCGUGUACUUAUCUAGCUGGGCCUUUCCUUCUAGAGAACCUCAUGCCCUUCACUAGGCGUGUUAGAGACUAGGACUUUUACUUUGAAAAAAUUAGAGUGUUUAAAGCAGGCCUUUGCUCGAAUACGUUAGCAUAGAAUAAUAGAAUAGGACGUGCAGUCCUAUUUUAUUAGUUUCUAGGACUGCUGUAAUAAUUAAUAGAGAUAGUUAGAGGCAUUAGUAUUUAAUUAUCAGAGAUAAAAUUCUUAGAUUUAUUAAAGACUAACUACUGCGAAAGCAUUUGCUAAGGAUGUUUUCAUUAAUUAGUAAACGAAAGUUAGAGGAUCGAAGACGAUUAGAUACUAUCGUAGUCUUAACCGUAAACUAUGCUAACUAGAGAUUAGGCGAUGUUCUUUUUCUAACUUGCUCAGACACCUUACGAGAAAUUAAAGUUUUUGGGUUCUAGGGGGAGUAUAGUCGCAAGGCUAAAACUUAAAGAAAUUAACAGAAGAGCACUACUAGGCGUAGAGCCUACGGCUUAAUUUGACUUAACAUAGAGAAACUUACUAGGUCUAGAUAAAAUAAGGAUUAACAGAUUAAGAGCUCUUUCUUAAUUUUUUAGAUAGUAGUGCAUAGCUGUUCUUAGUUAGUAGAGUGAUUUGUCUGCUUAAUUGCGAUAACGAAUAAGACCUUAACCUGCUAAAUAGCUAGGCUAGCUUUAGCUAGUCGCCGGCUUCUUAGAGAGACUAUUAGCUUAAGCUGAUAGAAGUUUAAGGUAAUAACAGGUCUGUAAUACUCUUAGAUGUUCUAGGCCGCACGCGCGCUACACUAACAGAGCUAAUAAGUUCUUUACCUUAGCCAAAAGGUCUAAGUAAUCUUAUUAAACUCUGUCGUGCUAGAGAUAGAGCAUUGCAAUUAUUGCUCUUUAACGAGGAAUGCCUAGUAAGCGCGUGUUAUUAGCAUGCGUUAAUUACGUCCCUGCUCUUUAUACACACUGCCCGUCGCUACUACUAAUUAAAUAGCUUAGUAAGGCCUUUAGACUAGCUUAGGGAAGUUAGCAACGACUACCUUGAGCUGGAAAGUUCGUUAAACUCAGUUAUUUAGAGGAAGUAAAAGUUGUAAUAAGGUUUCUGUAGGUAAACCUGCAGAAGGAUUAUUA
rfam:Phaeosphaeria nodorum SN15 scaffold_60, whole genome shotgun sequence.